GGUGAGGACUGUUGAGUGGCCAAAGCAGGAUUCCUGAGCCUGGCCAUCCAAGUCCUUGCU
ensembl:miRNA